rnacentral:rRNA from 1 species
AUUAAACGCUGGCGGCAUGCCUUACACAUGCAAGUCGAACGGCAGCACGGGGGCAACCCUGGUGGCGAGUGGCGAACGGGUGAGUAAAGCAUCGGAACGUGCCCUGGAGUGGGGGAUAACGUAGCGAAAGUUACGCUAAUACCGCAUAUUCUGUGAGCAGGAAAGCAGGGGAUCGCAAGACCUUGCGCUCUGGGAGCGGCCGAUGUCGGAUUAGCUAGUUGGUGGGGUAAAGGCCUACCAAGGCGACGAUCCGUAGCGGGUCUGAGAGGAUGAUCCGCCACACUGGGACUGAGACACGGCCCAGACUCCUACGGGAGGCAGCAGUGGGAAUUUUGGACAAUGGGCGAAAGCCUGAUCCAGCCAUGCCGCGUGAGUG